UCCGUUUUGUUCAUGUAUUUGUUUAUGUAAUUUAAUAUUUAUACUAUUAUUCAUCAUUGUGUAUUGCUAGAUUGAUUUGGUUUAUAUCAACCGUGCAAGGGCUUUUGUCAAGGUCGUUAAAAAAAAACCGUAGUAGUAGAUUAUGUUUAUUCAUGUUGUUAAUAUUGUGUCUAUAGAGAGCCUUAUUGAAAAUUGAUUUAAUCCAAAUGAGUUACUCUCUUUAAAUAAAGAUUUAUUUAUUUAUUCUUAUUUAAUUAUUUAUUUAUUUAUUUAUACGAAUGACCCCGAGGUUAAUGCAAGUUAAAGUUGACAUGGAUCGUAAUUCCAAUAAGGCCAAUUAUAACAUAAAAUGCAUCCAAUCUGCAAGUUAUCAUUAUACACUUAUAAUUUCACGUCAAAAAUCUUUAGGCGUGCUCAAACAAGUUGGAAUAUGUACUGUCUUAAUGCAAUUUUAAAAGUAAAAACACUGUAUUCAGGCGCGUAUUUGGAGGAGUCCUGCACUCCGUAAUUAAAACAGGUUGCUAUCUUUUAAAAAAAGAUAAGCAAUACGAGAACCUUAUUGGGGGUUUGGUUGAAAGAAAAAUAAAUUCAUUAUUUCAUCUCAUUUUCAUAAGAAAUUUGAAAACUGACAUAAAUUCAAUAUCCCGGGACAUAUUACCUUAUUGCGAAGGCCAAAAAAUCG
rnacentral:lncRNA from 1 species